rnacentral:rRNA from 1 species
AACGAACGCUGGCGGCAGGCCUAACACAUGCAAGUCGAACGCACCGCAAGGUGAGUGGCGCACGGGUGAGUAACACGUGGGAAUGUACCCUUUGGUUCGGAAUAACGUUUGGAAACGAACGCUAAUACCGGAUGAGCCCUGCGGGGGAAAGAUUUAUCGCCAAAGGAGCAGCCCGCGUCUGAUUAGCUAGUUGGUGGGGUAAAGGCCUACCAAGGGGACGAUCAGUAGCUGGUCUGAGAGGAUGAUCAGCCACACUGGGACUGAGACACGGCCCAGACUCCUACGGGAGGCAGCAGUGGGGAAUAUUGGACAAUGGGCGGAAGCCUGAUCCAGCCAUGCCGCGUGAGUGAUGAAGGCCUUCGGGUUGUAAAGCUCUUUCGCACGCGACGAUGAUGACGGUAGCGUGAGAAGAAGCCCCGGCUAACUUCGUGCCAGCCGCCGCCGUAAUAC